rnacentral:rRNA from 1 species
CCUACGGGGGGCUGCAGUAAGGAAUAUUGGUCAAUGGACGGAACUCUGAACCAGCCAUCCCGCGUGAAGGAUGAAGGGGCUCUGCCUUGUAAACUUCUUUUGCAUGGGACGAAAAAACUUAAUUUAUUAAGGACUGACGGUACCAUGAGAAUAAGCACCGGCUAACUCCGUGCCAGCAGCCGCGGUAAUACGGAGGGUGCGAGCGUUAUCCGGAAUCACUGGGUUUAAAGGGUGCGUAGGCGGUUUGAUAAGUCAGUGGUGAAAGGCCGUCGCUUAACGAUGGGACUGCCAUUGAUACUGUUAGACUUGAAUCAGGAUGAGGUUGGCGGAAUGUGGCAUGUAGCGGUGAAAUGCUUAGAUAUGCCAUGGAAUACCGAUUGCGAAGGCAGCUGACUGGACCUGAAUUGACGCUGAGGCACGAAAGCGUGGGGAGCGAACAGGCUUAGAUACCCCAGUAGUC